UGCGGCUCGUAGGUGUUGACGACAUCUUUCAGGAAGGAGGUGGUGAAGUAGUGGUUGGCGAUGUUGCCGGCGUUGAAAAGCAGCCGCCCAUCUGGGCCCCGCUUCUGCGCCGUGUCCAGGGAGAUCUCGCUGUACUCCACCACCUGGUAGACACCGUCCACGCGGCACACCACGCCGACUGGCUCCGUGGGGUUGGUCUUCUCCACCACCUUGGCCCCGCAGUCCGCUCCCUUCUCCAGGCAGAACCCGAUGAACCUGGGGUCAGCCACCUUCACCAGGAUGUUGUCCACACAGUAGACGUGGACGCUCUGCACGCCCCUCCGCUCCAUGUCAUCCACGAUGCCGUGCACCCCCAGUGCCC
rnacentral:lncRNA from 1 species